GAUGAACGCUGGCGGCAUGCUUAACACACGCAAGUCGGACGGGAAACACCUGCUACGGUGUUUCCAUUGGCUGACGGGUGAGUAACGCGUAAGUACCUGCCCUUCGGAGGGGAUCAACAUCUCUUCACGGCUGCUAAUCCCCCGUCGGCUUAGGAGCCCAACGGGGAAUCCGCCCGAGGAGGGUCUCGCGUCUGAUUAUCUGGUUGGUGAGGCAAUAGCUUACCGAGGCGAUGAUCAGUUGCUGAUCCGAGAGGAUGAGCAGCCACACUGGGAAUGAGACACGGAGAAGAAUACGACAGGAGGCAGCAGUGGGGAAUGUACCGCAAGGGGAGAAAGGAUGAAGCAACAAUGCCGGGUGGAGGAAGAAGGCCGAGGGGUAGUGAACUUCUGUUCGCGAAGAAGAAGGAGUGACGGUAAUGGGGAAAUAAGCACCGGCUAACUAUGUG
rnacentral:rRNA from 1 species